GAUGAAGAACGCAGCGAAAUGCGAUACUUGGUGUGAAUUGCAGAAUCCCGUGAACCAUCGAGUCUUUGAACGCAAGUUGCGCCCGAAGCCAUCAGGUUGAGGGCACGUCUGCCUGGGCGUCACAUAUCGUUGCUCGAUGCCUAUCGCAUUGCGAUAGGACUUAGGGCGAAUGAUGGCUUCCCGUGAGCGUUGUUGCCUCGCGGUUGGUUGAAAAUCGAGUCCUUGGUAGGGUGUGCCAUGAUAGAUGGUGGUCGAGUUAGCACGAGACCGAGCAUGUGCAUGCUCCCAAAAAUAUGGCCUCUGUGACCCACACGCGUCUUUUGACGCUCAUUAUGAGACCUCAGGUCAGGCGGGGCUACCCGCUGAAUUUAAGCAUAUCAAUAAGCGGAGGA
rnacentral:misc_RNA from 1 species